GAAGAGGCAGCCACCAACCA
rnacentral:siRNA from 1 species